rnacentral:tRNA from 1 species
GCCUUCGUGGUGUAGCGGUCUGCCCGCUCGCCUCGCAUUUGAGAGGUUCGUGGUUCGAGUCCCGGCGAGAGCA